GCCCAAGUGGUGGAAUGGUAGACACCGUAGACUCAAAAUCUACUGCAGAAAUGCGUGCAGGUUCAAGUCCUGUCUUGGGUACCA
rnacentral:tRNA from 1 species